GACGAACGCUGGCGGCGUGCUUAACACAUGCAAGUCGAACGAAGUGGCGAACGGGUGAGUAACGCGUAAUCAAACUGCCCUUCAGAGGGGGACAACAGUGGGAAACGACUGCUAAUACCGCAUACUGAAGGAGGGGCUUGCGUCUGAUUAGCUAGUUGGAGGGGGAACGGCCACCCACGGCGAUGAUAAGUAGCCUGUCUGAGUGGAUGAACGGCCACAUGGGGACGGAGUAACGGCCCAGACUCCUACGGGAGGCCGCAGUGGGGAAUCUUCCGCAAUGGACGAAAGUCUGACGGAGCAACGCCGCGUGAGUGAUGACGGCCUUCGGGUUGUAAAGCUCUGUUAAUCGGGACGCGGUACCGGAAUAGAAAGCCACGGCUAACUACGUGCCAGCAGCCGCGGUAAUAC
rnacentral:rRNA from 1 species